ACCGGUUGAGUACCCCCCGUCGGAUGAGCGCUUCUAUCUCAUCCCGGAGUUGGUAGCAGUCCUCCGUGUCGUGCCCACGAUCUCGGUGGAAGCGGCAAUACUUCCUGGGAUUCCGGGGGAAUCCCGUGUCUCGCAUAGGAGGCGGGGGUCAGAAGAAGUCCCGACCCUCGAUUUCCAUCAGGAUUUCGGCCCGGGAAGCGUUGACGGGUGUGUAGUUCUCGUACUUUCCCGGGUACGUCCGAGGCCGUGGUGGGGACCUCGGCCGAGGAGGGGUCCUUUGCUGAGAUCGCCUCUGCUGUCGGGGCGGACUUCUCAGUCUGGGGAGGUUCUUCUCUCGGCGGGGGGAUCGGCUCCUUUGUCGGCCGCGCUCCUCGCGGCGUCUCUUCUGCUUCUUCGAGGCGG
rnacentral:lncRNA from 1 species